UUAGCUCAGUUGGCAGAGCGGAAGACUGUAGUUGCUUAUGCAGAUAAUCUUUAGGUCGCUGGUUCGAUUCCGGCAGGUCGGACUUUUUAGUUUUCAACUUUUCACCCCUAUUUUUCUCAAACAAAAUCAUACUUUUUUUGUUUUACAUAUUAAUAAUAUAACAACCGACCUUAGCUCAGUUGGCAGAGCGGAAGACUGUAGUUGUGAUGCAGAUAAUCUUUAGGUCGCUGGUUCGAUUCCGGCAGGUCGGAUUUUUUUUCCCCACUUUUUUUCGCUAUAUUAUUUUCGAAAUUCACGAGAUUUCUCAUUUUCAAUUCAAUUAGGGUUUCGUCGCCGAAAAUCUCAAUUUUGACGUUUGCAGCUGGAGUAGACAAGUUAUCUGACACCAGGGAUGAAGAUGAACUAUCCUACAUCAUCCAGCAGGAGCAUAGGAUAUAAUUUUACUGCUGUCUCCUGCUUUAAAACUUCAUAAGAUUUAUAGAUCAGGUGCUGAUCUGUACUUCUGUAGUGUCAUUUUGUGGUUCUCCCAACAUCGUCUUUUGAACAUAGCACAUCUAUUUGUCAUGCUAUAAGCCAACCUUGGCAUAGAUAUGAAGUGGAUUAGAAGGCUGUCUCCUGAAGUAAACUACCUAAUCGUUCCUUUUUUGUUUUUUUUUUGCCUGCCAUGUGAUCAAGGAGCUACUUGGUCAUAGUCAUACGAUGUAGAAUUACUGCACAGGAAAUCUAACUUAUGCCAAUCUACCAUACACUACUAAUUAGUUAAUAAGAAUUACCUUUUUCUCGUUGUUUUUCUUCUGGUAAAGUUGUCUGGUUCUGUUUUGAUGUAUCAUGCUUUGUCAUUGAUACAUCGUUUAUGCCUUCAAUUCCUCAGUAAGGUAUAAACAUAAAUUUGUUUUUCCGCUUAUUUGUGCUGGCUGAUGACUAGAAGUUUUUUCUUCGGAUCAUGCUAGAGUUACUAAGAGUUUUGAUCUUUGAAGCAUCAGGGCUGCAUGGUUGCCUUAGUUACACCUAUUACUUUUUGUCUUUGUUGUGUUGGUUUAUUUUGUUGUGAGUAGCUGCCACAAGGCCCACAAAUGUAAGUUUAGUUUUACUGCUGUAAGUAGCUUUUACAAAUACUUAAUAUGCUUUUCCGCAACCAAAUGUUCAACAUCAAUCAAACUAGUUCCAUGUGAAUCAAGUGGGGGUUCAGUGGUAGAGCUUCUGUUCUGAUCACCCUCAAGUUGCAGCAUUUUGGUAGUUUCCUUCUGGGUAAAACUCCAAGUUCUCAGUCAAAAUUCCUUGUAUUAGAUUUUAGAUCCCCUUAUUUCCUUUACUUCACAGGUUAUGUGCUAUAUAUGACUAGUUAAGUUCCGAAUAAAAAUCGAAUCAAACUAGUCAAUUGCAAUCGAUUUUUUAGUCCUUUCUUAUGGUUCCUGACUCAGGUGAUUGGCUUUCUUAUAUAAUUUCUCAACAAUUGGUAAGAUUUUGAGCUGCCUCUGCCACCGCGUUGCGGAAUUUGAAGUUCUCAUAACUGAGUUGCACCAAGACUGAUGCUGUUUCUGAUAAAACUUGUCUUUGAUAAAACUUGCAGUGGAGAACAUGUGAAGGUUGACUUUUGGUACUGAACAGAUCUAACGGAGAAGUUUAGCAGUCUGAUUGUCUAACUCAGGUAAUGACUCUCUAUCAUAAUCUUAUGAUUUAUCAUAAUCAGAUUAAUACAAAGGUGUCGUGGUGUAGUUGGUUAUCACGUCAGUCUUACACACUGAAGGUCUCCGGUUCGAACCCGGGCGACGCCAUUCUUUAUUUUUUGACUUGUGUAAGUUUGUGGCAGUUGGGAAUUAUAGUGCUGGAUACUUGGUUUGGUGAUUAAAACAUAGAAAUUCUGACCCUACUUGCAAUAAAUUUCAUACUUCCUCCGUUUCGUUUUAAAUGCAACAAAAAAGUAUUUUAUAUCUCACAAAUAAUACCCCUUUGUUACAUUUAAAAUGAAAUGGAGGAAGUAUAAAAUCUUUGGAAUUUGGACGAUACUUCUUUUCCCUUCUUUUUUUCUUUGGUACAAGGAAAGAGUUGGGAGAUCCUUCUCUCAAGAAAGCUGCCUAACUUAUCUAAAGAAACUAAUUGUUGGAUGGUUGAGUUGUCGUUGUAUCGAUUUCUUGAGUGGCCUGUUGGACGAGGUAGCCUCUGUACAUAAAUAAUCAGCACCACGAUUUGCUUCUCUAAAGGUGUGUGUGUAUGUGAUAGAUGUGAAGCUUUUGAAUUGUAGUUCUAAACUCUGAUUGAGAGUAUACAGUCGUGCUUUUGGUUACAUGAUUCUAGCUUGUAUAGCUAUUCUCUAGUAUUGUUGUCAAUUUUUAUAA